CAUCGUGGCCCUAUCUACAGUCUCGCGAUGGCGUCAUUUCGGAUUUGCAGUUGAGCAGCCAAUUAGGAGGACGCGGGUGCCGUGCGCGUGACGGACGGAAGUCGCGACAGACGCCCUUAUGAAAGCCACAAAAUCUGUUCUAUAUUAAUUCUUCUGCAUUGGCGUCCGAACAGAAGCAAACUGUAUGACACCACAGUAAGGAUUCCCUCAACGUGACGUUGUUGGAAAUCCACUGUGUUCAACACCCUUCAUACCCGAAAGACGGCCACUUUUCCAGGCUCUGAAGACAAUCAUCAUGAAGACGGCCAUCAUUAUUCUGUUCGUUCUGGUCGCUUGGUGCGCUCUUUCCGAGGUGGAAGCGUUGCAUCAUCGUGCCUCACCGGGUCCAGUCAGGGCUGCUGCCCAAGGCUACAAUCCUUCGUCGCUGGGGGCUCCUAUCACUGGUCGGUCCCGUAGGGGGAUCUGCAGUACGGGGGUCGUCCUCUUCGAAUGCUGACCACACCUGGAUGUCGCUCGUCAAGCGGUCACCGAUACGACUGGCUUGAUGGACACUUGACGGUGAAAUAAAAACAUUGCACGAGA